GGGAUGUAGCUCAGUUGGCUAGAGCGCUUGACUGGCAGUCAAGAGGUCGUGGGUUCGAGCCCCAUCUUCUCC
rnacentral:tRNA from 1 species